AACGAACGCUGGCGGCAUGCCUAACACAUGCAAGUCGAACGAGACCUUCGGGUCUAGUGGCGCACGGGUGCGUAACGCGUGGGAACCUGCCCUUAGGUUCGGAAUAACUCCCCGAAAGGGGUGCUAAUACCGGAUAAUGUCUUCGGACCAAAGAUUUAUCGCCUUUGGAUGGGCCCGCGUUGGAUUAGCUAGUUGGUAGGGUAAAAGCCUACCAAGGCGACGAUCUAUAGCUGGUCUGAGAGGAUGAUCAGCCACACUGGGACUGAGACACGGCCCAGACUCCUACGGGAGGCAGCAGUGGGGAAUAUUGGACAAUGGGCGAAAGCCUGAUCCAGCAAUGCCGCGUGAGUGAUGAAGGCCUUAGGGUUGUAAAGCUCUUUUACCCGGGAUGAUAAUGACAGUACCGGGAGAAUAAGCUCCGGCUAACUCUGUG
rnacentral:rRNA from 1 species